AUCUUCGAAAUUAUAUAAUUUAUAUAAAUAACUUCAAAGACUGCAAUUUUGUAAAGAAUUUCUAAGUCAAGCCGUUUCAAGACAUGCGUAGCAAAACAUAAUCUAAAUUAAACAAAUUUGAAAAUCUAUUUAAACUGACUUACAUUUCUAAUGAAAAAGUUCCUAAUUUUAUCACCAAAUUACAAAUAUUUUUAAUUAAAGGUGCCUGAUGGACCCCAAUCCGUAAACCUUUGAAGACGCAGUUCAACUUUACUACAACUCAGCUGUGGAGCAAUAUCAUCUUAUCAUCACGCAGAUCAGCUGCGUGAGCAUUUAAGCUCUCCCCUCUCGCACCAAUACUUUUGGCUUAGCGUUUUGCUGUUCGCUCUUCAAUCGAGUCUCUCAUUAUCAUUCGCUAUCGUUAUCUUCUACAUAUCGAAUCGAUGCGAUACAUAUCGCUUCAAUCAAUAAAAGAUAUAGUUCAAAAUCUCGACAGAAAA